AUUGAACGCUGGCGGCAAGCCUAACACAUGCAAGUCGAACGAGUGGCGGACGGGUGAGUAAUGUCUGGGAAACCGCCUGAUGGAGUGGGAUAACUACUGGAAACGGUAGCUAAUACCGCAUACCAUCGGAUGUGCCCAGAUGGGACUAGCUAGUAGGUGGGGUAAAGGCUCACCUAGGCGACGAGCCCUAGCUGGUCUGAGAGGAUGACCAGCCAGACGGGAACGGAGACACGGUACAGACGCCUAGGGGAGGCAGCAGUGGGGAAUAUUGCACAAUGGGCGCAAGCCUGAUGCAGCCAUGCCGCGUGUAUGAAGAAGGCCUGCGGGGUGUAAAGUACUUUCAGCGGGGAGGCGUUACCCGCAGAAGAAGCACCGGCUAACUCCGUGCCAGCAGCCGCGGUAAUUC
rnacentral:rRNA from 1 species